UACGGAGGGGGCAAGCGUCGUUCGGAAUUACUGGGCGUAAAGGGCGCGUAGGCGGAACGUCAAGUUAGGGGUGAAAGGCCUGGGCUCAACCUAGGAACGGCCUCUAAAACUGACGAUCUUGAGUCCGGAAGAGGAUGGCGGAAUUCCCAGUGUAGAGGUGAAAUUCGUAGAUAUUGGGAAGAACACCGGUGGCGAAGGCGGCCAUCUGGUCCGGAACUGACGCUGAGGCGCGAAAGCGUGGGGAGCAAACAGG
rnacentral:rRNA from 1 species